GCGGAAAUAGUUAAGUGGCAGAACAUCACCUUCCCAUGGCGGGGGUCGCGGGAUCGAAUCCCGUCUUCCGCUCCA
rnacentral:tRNA from 1 species